CCGUUGGAUUAGGAAUCAACGGCAGAGAUGAUGCAAGGGAGUUUAGCGCGAUUCGCGAACCGUCUCCGGCCGUCCGGCGUCGGCCACCGCCGCUCCCGUCCCUCGUCGAUCCCUCUGUGCCUCCCCGGCCCCUCGCCGAUCCCCAUCCCUAAAAACCCUAGCCCACAGUGCCGCCAUCGUCACUUCAGCUCUCCUGCUCGUUCGCAUCUCGGUAGCCGAGCGUCGCCACCUCCUCCGAUCCUUGCCCCUUUGCUGCCCAUCGACCUCCCUCCUUGCCGAUGCGCUGGACCCGAUGGGCCGCGGUCGAGCUUGCUGGCGCAGCGCUCGAGUUGUACGUCCCACCUCCGCUCCAGUUCGCCCCCUCCACAUAGAAGCAGGGGAGCAGGUGCCGGCGACGCGGAUGGCAUGAGAGGAGACGGAGGCGUACGCGCGGGACUGGCCGGCAGUGGGAUGCAAGAUAUCGAAGAUGAAAAUUGCUGCCGCGUGCUCGAAAUCAUCACCUCCGGCAUUUAAAUGUGUGAAAGACUGGUUCUUAAAUUUAUUUUUGCUUUCACUGUAACUACAUUGUUGUGCUUCUUCUUUGUUCCAUAGCUAGAAGCUAGACUGGAAACAACUGUGGCUGUUUCAGGCUUUUUUUUUAUCUUGGUGAAUUAAUGUAAAUAUAUUUAGUUAUGGUUAUAUCCGGUUUUCGAUGGUUUGUUCUUACA